rnacentral:rRNA from 1 species
UGACCUCGAAUCAGGUAGGACUACCCGCUGAACUUAAGCAUAUCAAUAAAGCGGAGGAA